AGGGUUCGAUUCUGGCUCAGGAUGAACGCUAGCUACAGGCUUAACACAUGCAAGUCGGGGGGCAGCAUUGGAGUAGCAAUACUUCAGAUGGCGACCGGCGCACGGGUGAGUAACACGUAUCCAACCUGCCGCUUACUCGGGGAUAGCCUUUCGAAAGAAAGAUUAAUACCCGAUGGUAUAAAGAGUUCGCAUGUUCUCUUUAUUAAAGAAUUUCGGUAAGCGAUGGGGAUGCGUUCCAUUAGAUUGUUGGCGGGGUAACGGCCCACCAAGUCUACGAUGGAUAGGGGUUCUGAGAGGAAGGUCCCCCACAUUGGAACUGAGACACGGUCCAAACUCCUACGGGAGGCAGCAGUGAGGAAUAUUGGUCAAUGGACGAGAGUCUGAACCAGCCAAGUAGCGUGAAGGAUGACUGCCCUAUGGGUUGUAAACUUCUUUUAUAAGGGAAUAAAGUGAGGGACGUGUCCCUUUUUGUAUGUACCUUAUGAAUAAGGAUCGGCUAACUCCGUGCCAGCAGCAGC
rnacentral:rRNA from 1 species